AGCAUGCUCAUUUCCUUGUAUUUUUUACCUAUUUACAGUGUAAAUAAUCUAAUAAUAAAAAAUUUAAAGUCACUUAUCAUCAUGCCAAAUUUAUUCAUAAACACAAGCAACCUAUGUACAUGCUCCUAACCAAUCACUUGUAUUUCUAGAAGCUUAAGCACACCAAAAUAUAAAAAAAAUUAAAAAUUAAAAACAACCUAUGUUACCCCCC
rnacentral:lncRNA from 1 species